AGAGUUUGAUCCUGGCUCAGAUUGAACGCUGGCGGCAUGCCUUACACAUGCAAGUCGAACGGUAACGCGGGGGCAACCCUGGCGACGAGUGGCGAACGGGUGAGUAAUACAUCGGAACAUAUCCAGUAGCGGGGGAUAACCUAUCGAAAGAUGGACUAAUACCGCAUACGAUCUACGGAUGAAAGCAGGGGACCGCAAGGCCUUGCACUAUUGGAGUGGCCGAUGUCGGAUUAGCUAGUUGGUGGGGUAAAAGUCUACCAAGGCGACGAUCCGUAGCUGGUCUGAGAGGACGAUCAGCCACACUGGAACUGAGACACGGUCCAGACUCCUACGGGAGGCAGCAGUGGGGAAUUUUGGACAAUGGGCGCAAGCCUGAUCCAGCCAUGCCGCGUGAGUGAAGAAGGCCUUCGGGUUGUAAAGCUCUUUCGGUGAAGACGAAACGGUUCAUGCUAAUAACGUGAACUAAUGACGGUACUCACAGAAGAAGCACCGGCUAACUACGUGCCAGCAGCCGCGGUAAUACGUAGGGUGCAGGCGUUAAUCGGAAUUACUGGGCGUAAAGCGUGCGCAGGCGGUUUGCUAAGACAGGUGUGAAAUCCCCGGGCUUAACCUGGGAAUUGCGCUUGUAACUGGCAAGCUAGUGUGUGGCAGAGGGGGGUGGAAUUCCACGUGUAGCAGUGAAAUGCGUAGAUAUGUGGAGGAACACCGAUGGCGAAGGCAGCCCCCUGGGUUAACACUGACGCUCAUGCACGAAAGCGUGGGGAGCAAACAGGAUUAGAUACCCUGGUAGUCCACGCCCUAAACUAUGUCAACUAGUUGUCGGGGAAGAAAUUCCUUGGUAACGAAGCUAACGCGUGAAGUUGACCGCCUGGGGAGUACGGCCGCAAGGUUAAAACUCAAAGGAAUUGACGGGGACCCGCACAAGCGGUGGAUUAUGUGGAUUAAUUCGAUGCAACGCGAAAAACCUUACCUACCCUUGACAUGCUAGGAAGCCCGCAGAGAUGUGGUGUGCCCGAAAGGGAACCUAGACACAGGUGCUGCAUGGCUGUCGUCAGCUCGUGUCGUGAGAUGUUGGGUUAAGUCCCGCAACGAGCGCAACCCUUGCCAUUAGUUGCUACAUUCAGUUGGGCACUCUAAUGGGACCGCCGGUGACAAACCGGAGGAAGGUGGGGAUGACGUCAAGUCCUCAUGGCCCUUAUGGGUAGGGCUUCACACGUAAUACAAUGGUCGGUACAGAGGGCUGCCAACCCGCAAGGGGGAGCUAAUCCCAGAAAGCCGAUCGUAGUCCGGAUUGUAGUCUGCAACUCGACUGCAUGAAGCCGGAAUCGCUAGUAAUCGCGGAUCAGCAUGUCGCGGUGAAUACGUUCCCGGGUCUUGUACACACCGCCCGUCACACCAUGGGAGUGGGUUCCACCAGAAGUAGUUAGCCUAACCGCCAGGAGGGCGAUUACCACGGUGAGAUUCAUGACUGGGGUGAAGUCGUAACAAGGUA
rnacentral:rRNA from 1 species